UACGGGAGGCAGCAGUGGGGAAUAUUGCACAAUGGGCGAAAGCCUGAUGCAGCAACGCCGCGUGAGGGAUGACGGCCUUCGGGUUGUAAACCUCUUUUAGUAGGGAAGAAGGGAGCUUGCUCUUGACGGUACCUGCAGAAAAAGCACCGGCUAACUACGUGCCAGCAGCCGCGGUAAUACGUAGGGUGCAAGCGUUGUCCGGAAUUAUUGGGCGUAAAGAGCUCGUAGGCGGUUUGUCGCGUCUGCUGUGAAAUCCCGAGGCUCAACCUCGGGCUUGCAGUGGGUACGGGCAGACUAGAGUGCGGUAGGGGAGAUUGGAAUUCCUGGUGUAGCGGUGGAAUGCGCAGAUAUCAGGAGGAACACCGAUGGCGAAGGCAGAUCUCUGGGCCGUAACUGACGCUGAGGAGCGAAAGCAUGGGGAGCGAACAGGAUUAGAUACCCUGGUAGUCCAUGCCGUAAACGUUGGGCGCUAGAUGUAGGGACCUUUCCACGGUUUCUGUGUCGUAGCUAACGCAUUAAGCGCCCCGCCUGGGGAGUACGGCCGCAAGGCUAAAACUCAAAGGAAUUGACGGGGGCCCGCACAAGCGGCGGAGCAUGCGGAUUAAUUCGAUGCAACGCGA
rnacentral:rRNA from 1 species